GACCAGGUGGCCGAGUGGUUAAGGCGAUGGACUGCUAAUCCAUUGGGGUUUUCCUUGUUU
rnacentral:tRNA from 1 species